rnacentral:rRNA from 1 species
CGUCGCCGCGGGAAUACAGAGGGUGCGAGCGUUAAUCGGAUUUACUGGGCGUAAAGCGUGCGUAGGCGGCUUCUUAAGUCGGAUGUGAAAUCCCUGAGCUUAACUUAGGAAUUGCAUUCGAUACUGGGAAGCUAGAGUAUGGGAGAGGAUGGUAGAAUUCCAGGUGUAGCGGUGAAAUGCGUAGAGAUUUGGAGGAAUACCGAUGGCGAAGGCAGCCAUCUGGCCUAAUACUGACGCUGAGGUACGAAAGCAUGGGGAGCAAACAGGAUUAGAUACCCCCGUAGUCCCUGUCUCUUAUACA